UUUUUAUAGGAAAAAAAAUUGAAGAUCGAAUGGUUCAUGUUGAUUGGAUAUUUAAUCCAAGGGUUUUAUCUUUUUUAGAUGAUGUCAUCUUUUUAGAAAUUGAAUUUAAUCCAAUGGUUAAUAUUAUCGCACCUUUUUAUCUAAGGGUUGAGAUUAGACUUACGUUUUUGACGAAGACGCUGCUUUGUGUCGUGUCCUUAGUGAAGCAUUGCGUCCGUUAAUGGAGUUGUGACCCCUUCUGGUCUGCGUCUCUUCUCUGUUUAUAUAUAUUUGAUAACCAUUUUACCCUUCCUCUUUUUUUUUUCCUGAUUCCUGAUUAAAGUUUUUGAUAAAUCACCAAAUUUUAUCUCCCGAUCAUCCACCAUUCAUAAUUGCAAUAGAGAUGUGGGCAUGUGAGGAAGACGCAAAAGAGAGAGGAAGUACGUAAGAUGGGUAGGAAGUUGUUGUAUUUUGAAACCACUAGCCAUUAACUUCAGUGGUAACCUUUCUUUUAUCACGGUUUCAAGAUAUAUGAAAGUGAUGGAGGUUUCAUAUAUAUAUUUAUGUCGCAAUGUUGCACAUUUUUUAAGCGCUUGUUUCUUCUUCUUUUUCCGUCCAGAAACAUUUUGUGGAUUUUAAGCUAAGACAACGAUGUUACAUGAGGCAACCAGAGAAGAUGUAGUAACUUGUAUGUAUCUGAACUCAGAUUGUUUUUUUUUGUAAAAAUCCGAU
rnacentral:lncRNA from 1 species